AAAGACAAAGCAAAAUCACGCUGUAGUACAUCCACGAUCACACAUUCGUCCCUUCCCUCCCCCAGCCAGUCCCACUUUUAAGUCUUUUAAACUUCUCUUUAAGGAUUGCAGCGUCUAAAAGUUCUAGCAGGAGAACUUAAGCUGAUUUGAAUUUUAAUAGUAAGGACUAUUUUGAGUCGUAAUAAAGAAAGACUCAAAGGACUUUGAGGCUCGAACUGAAGGAAAAAUAUGGGGCUAAAAGCACUUCCCCUGUCACCCUCUCAGAAUGGGUUCCUGGGUAAUGCAGCGGUUGCGCCAAAAUUCUUCAGAUACCAUUCUAGCAGAAGCUGCAACUUCAUUGCUGUUUCCGCCAAGAAUGAGAGCGCUAGCACCGAAGAAGAAGCGGGCAACACAGAGAAGAAGCAGUCGCUGUUUUCAAGUGUGACAGAAGCUCUGGACUUUUCUCAGGUCCGAUCAGCUAAGGAUGCCGAGCUCUUGGAAGAAGCUAGCGAAUCUACGCGCUCAGGUGGACGCAUGAGUAGGGAACAGUAUGGGGCUCUUAGAAGGAAAAUCGGUGGAACAUACAAAGAUUUCUUCAAAUCCUAUAUUGAAGUGGAUGGACAAUACGUUGACGAAGGAUGGGUUGACAAAACAUGCAAAGUUUGCAAGAAAGAUACCAGGGGUGAACCAAGGCAAGUGGAUAAAUUCGGGAGAUACGUUCAUGUAGAAUGUCUUGAGAAGUCCAAGUCCGGAAAUUUUUUCACAAGGCUCUUCUCCAGCUGACUUCUGGAAGAGGCACAUCACCCUCAAGAUUGCCCCCUCCUCCUGGGCUUAGGUUUUGAUUAACCUAUUUCCAUAUGGACACAAUAGUUGUACGCUUCGUAUAUUGAAAUCGCAGUUCAGGCAUGUUUGAGUGAAAUCAGCUCCUAAACAUUUGUUUUUUCCCUUCUAAUUUUGGUGGGCUCUGCAUGGGUUGAGGCUGGAUGAACUUCUUAAGCAUUUUGUAAGUUUCAUUUUUGUGUGGAGUAUCUAUGGAGUCCAAACUUACUCUAAUAAUUUUAGAUUCUUCACUCA